rnacentral:rRNA from 1 species
GCAGCAGUGGGGAAUCUUAGACAAUGGGNGCAAGCCUGAUCUAGCCAUGCCGCGUGAGUGAUGAAGGCCUUAGGGUUGUAAAGCUCUUUCACCNGGGANGAUAAUGACGGUACCNNNAGAAGAAGCCCCGGCUAACUCCGUGCCAGCAGCCGCGGUAAUACGGAGGGGGCNAGCGUUGUUCGGAAUUACUGGGCGUAAAGCGCACGUAGGCGGAUCAGAAAGUCNGAGGUGAAAUCCCNGGGCUCAACCCNGGAACUGCCUUNGAAACUCNUGGUCUNGAGUNCGNGAGAGGUGAGUGGAAUUCCGAGUGUAGAGGUGAAAUUCGUAGAUAUUCGGAGGAACACCAGUGGCGAAGGCGGCUCNCUGG